rnacentral:rRNA from 1 species
UACAGAGGGGGCAAGCGUUGUUCGGAAUUACUGGGCGUAAAGGGCGCGUAGGCGGCCCGCUAAGUCGAACGUGAAAUCCCCAGGCUCAACCUGGGAACUGCGUCCGAUACUGGCAGGCUUGAAUCCGGGAGAGGGAUGUGGAAUUCCAGGUGUAGCGGUGAAAUGCGUAGAUAUCUGGAGGAACACCGGUGGCGAAGGCGGCAUCCUGGACCGGUAUUGACGCUGAGGAGCGAAAGCGUGGGGAGCGAACAGG